AAGCAUUCUGGGUGACAUACCCAGAAUCAGGCUCCCUCCUCUCUGGUUCCGGGGUGUGUCACCCGAGAACAAUC
rfam:Myotis brandtii contig269716, whole genome shotgun sequence.